rnacentral:rRNA from 1 species
ACUCAAAGGAAUUGACGGGGGCUCACACAAGCGGUGGAGCAUGUGGCUUAAUUCGAGGCAACGCGAAGAACCUUAUCCUGGGCUUGACAUGCAUGGAUAUCUUACCUGAAAGGGAUAAGAUUGCCUUCGGGUGAAACAUGCACAGGUGCUGCAUGGCUGUCGUCAGCUCGUGUCGUGAGAUGUCGGGUUAAGUCCUUCAACGAGCGAAACCCCUGUCCUUAGUUGCCAGCAUUCAGUUGGGGACUCUAAGGAGACCGCCGGUGUUAAACCGGAGGAAGGCGGGGACGACGUCAAGUCAUCACGGCCUUUAUGCCCAGGGCUGCACACGUGCUACAAUGGGGCGCACAAAGGGACGCCAACGCGCGAGCGGGAGCAAAUCUCAAAAAACGCCCCCCAGUUCAGAUCGCAGGCUGCAAUUCGCCUGCGUGAAGCCGGAAUCGCUAGUAAUCGCAGAUCAGCUAUGCUGCGGUGAAUGUGUUCCUGAGCCUUGCACACACCGCCCGU